rnacentral:lncRNA from 1 species
CAGUCCAAUCAUUGCCUGCACAUAUUGUCGCCGUACUCUGAGCAAUUUUGACCCACAUCUACAAACUAUUACUUGUCACUUAAUCACCUGAAAUAAUACUUCCAUCUUCCUCCAUAGAAUCUGAGCAAGCCAACCUACUACUGAACCGCUACAUGUCAUGCUCAUUGAGACACCCAGAUGGUGGUUUCAGCAGAUCUCCCAACCCAACAUUCAUGUUCUGUAAAGCUGGUGUCGGUGGACCAUCUUUCUUGUAGACCUUACUGCCGUUUUCAUGAACAAAAGCAGUCUCACGGAACUCCUCAUGGUUGAUUUUAGUGAAAUCUAUGCCAUUUGAGCAGUAGGCCUCUGGCCUAAAAUCUAAUUUGUCAACAGAAGCCCGUUCAACGGACCCAUUGCACUUGGGUUUGCUACGAUAAUCAAAUUUCUGCAUCUCUGUUUUCUUAACCCCCUCUUCAUCUGAUGAUUUUGUAUAAGAACUUUUCAGGAAACCAUGAGAUUUGAACGACAUGUCACCUCGAAUAAUCCCUCUGCCAUUUUCACAAGAUGACUUCAGACUGGCAGAACAAUUAUCAUAAUCUUGCUCUGACAACCCAAGAUCAGAAUGG